rnacentral:pre_miRNA from 1 species
AGAGGAAUAGCUGGGUCAAAUGGUGGUUCCAUUCCCACCUUUCCAAGAAAUCUCUAUACUGCUUUCCAAAUUGGCUGCACCAAUUUGCAGUCCCACCAGCAGU